rnacentral:rRNA from 1 species
AGCGAACGCUGGCGGCAGGCUUAACACAUGCAAGUCGAACGAAUCCUUCGGGGAUUAGUGGCGGACGGGUGAGUAACACGUGGGAACGUGCCUUUUGGUUCGGAACAACACAGGGAAACUUGUGCCUAAUACCGGGAUGUGCCCUUCGGGGAAAGGAUUUAUCGCCAUUAGAGCGGCCCGCGUCUGAUUAGCUUGUUGGUGAGGUAAAGGCUCACCAAGGCUACGAUCAGUAGCUGGUCNGAGAGGAUGAUCAGCCAC